rnacentral:sRNA from 1 species
AGCAGCCGCGGUAAUUCCAGCUCCAAUAGCGUAUAUUAAAGUUGCUGCAGUUAAAAAGCUCGUAGUUGAAUUUCGGGACCGAUAUAUCGGUCGUGCCUCGGUACGUACUGGUAUUUUCGGUUUCUACCUUCUGACGAACCUUGAUGUCAUUAAUUUGGUGUCUUGGGGAAUCAGGACUGUUACUUUGAAAAAAUUUAGAGUGUUUAAAGCAGGCUCACGCUUGAAUACAUUAGCAUGGAAUAAUGAAAUAGGACGUUUGAUUCUAUUUUGUUGGUUUCUAGGAUCGACGUAAUGAUUAAUAGGGAUAGUUGGGGGCAUUAGUAUUCAAUUGUCAGAGGUGAAAUUCUUGGAUUUAUUGAAGACUAACUACUGCGAAAGCAUUUGCCAAGGAUGUUUUCAUUAAUCAAGAACGAAAGUUAGGGGAUCGAAGACGAUCAGAUACCGUCGUAGUCUUAACCAUAAACUAUGCCGACUAGGGAUCGGAUGAUGUUAAUUUUUUAAUGACUCAUUCGGCGCCUUA